GAUGAACGCUGGCGGCGUGCUUAACACAUGCAAGUCGAACGGUGAAGGCGGAGCUUGCUCUGCUGGAUCAGUGGCGAACGGGUGAGUAACACGUGAGCAAUCUGCCCCUGACUCUGGGAUAAGCGCUGGAGACGGCGUCUAAUACUGGAUACGAGCUGCGAAGGCAUCUUCAGCAGCUGGAAAGAAUUUCGGUCAGGGAUGAGCUCGCGGCCUAUCAGCUUGUUGGUGAGGUAAUGGCUCACCAAGGCGUCGACGGGUAGCCGGCCUGAGAGGGUGACCGGCCACACUGGGACUGAGACACGGCCCAGACUCCUACGGGAGGCAGCAGUGGGGAAUAUUGCACAAUGGGCGAAAGCCUGAUGCAGCAACGCCGCGUGAGGGACGACGGCCUUCGGGUUGUAAACCUCUUUUAGCAGGGAAGAAGCGAAAGUGACGGUACCUGCAGAAAAAGCGCCGGCUAACUACGUG
rnacentral:rRNA from 1 species